rnacentral:rRNA from 1 species
ACGGCUCAGUAACACGUGGAUAACCUGCCCUAAGGAAGGGGAUAACCCCGGGAAACUGGGGAUAAUACCCUAUAGGUUACAGAUGCUGGAAUGCUCUGUAACCGAAAGUUCCGGCGCCUUAGGAUGGAUCUGCGGCCGAUUAGGUUGUUGUCGGGGUAACGGCCCAACAAGCCAGUAAUCGGUACGGGUUGUGGGAGCAAGAGCCCGGAGUUGGAUUCUGAGACACGAAUCCAGGCCCUACGGGGCGCAGCAGGCGCGAAAACUUUACAAUGCGGGCAACCGUGAUAAGGGAACCUCGAGUGCCUGUAUAUGCAGGCUGUCUGGGUGUCUAAAACACACCUAAAGAAAGGGCCGGGCAAGACCGGUGCCAGCCGCCGCGGUAAUACCGGCGGCUCGAGUGGUGGCCACUUUUAUUGGGCUUAAAGCGUUCGUAGCUGGGUUAUUAAGUCCCUUGGGAAAUCCGACGGCUUAACCGUCGGGCGUCUAAGGGAUACUGGCAAUCUUGGAACCGGGAGAGGUGAGGGGUACUUCGGGGGUAGGAGUGAAAUCCUGUAAUCCUCGAGGGACCACCUGUGGCGAAGGCGCCUCACCAGAACGGCUUCGACAGUGAG